rnacentral:rRNA from 1 species
UACGUAGGGGGCUAGCGUUGUCCGGAAUCAUUGGGCGUAAAGCGCGCGUAGGCGGCCCGGUAAGUCCGCUGUGAAAGUCAAAGGCUCAACCUUUGAAUGUCAGCGGAUACUGCCGGGCUAGAGUCCGGAAGAGGCGAGUGGAAUUCCACGUGUAGCAGUGAAAUGCGUAGAGAUGUGGAGGAACACCGAUGGCGAAGGCAGCCCCCUGGGCCGACACUGACGCUCAGGCACGAAAGCGUGGGGAGCAAACAGG